rnacentral:rRNA from 1 species
AUACGGGGGGUGCAGGCGUUAUUCGGAUUUAUUGGGCGUAAAGGGCGCGUAGGCGGCUUGGUAAGUCAGAUGUGAAAGCCCGGGGCUCAACCCCGGAAGUGCAUUUGAAACUAUCAGGCUUGAGUAUGGGAGAGGGAAGUGGAAUUCCUGGUGUAGAGGUGAAAUUCGUAGAUAUCAGGAGGAACACCGGUGGCGAAGGCGACUUCCUGGACCAAUACUGACGCUGAGGCGCGAAGGCGUGGGGAGCAAACAGGAUUAGAUACCCCAGUAGUCC